rnacentral:rRNA from 1 species
CCUACGGGGGGCAGCAGUGGGGAAUAUUGGACAAUGGGCGAAAGCCUGAUCCAGCCAUGCCGCGUGUGUGAAGAAGGCCUUCGGGUUGUAAAGCACUUUCAGUGGGGAAGAAAGCCUUGGGGCUAAUACCCUCGAGGAAGGACAUCACCCACAGAAGAAGCACCGGCUAACUCCGUGCCAGCAGCCGCGGUAAUACGGAGGGUGCGAGCGUUAAUCGGAAUUACUGGGCGUAAAGCGCGCGUAGGCGGUCUGAUAAGCCGGUUGUGAAAGCCCCGGGCUCAACCUGGGAACGGCAUCCGGAACUGGCAGGCUAGAGUGCAGGAGAGGAAGGUAGAAUUCCCGGUGUAGCGGUGAAAUGCGUAGAGAUCGGGAGGAAUACCAGUGGCGAAGGCGGCCUUCUGGACUGACACUGACGCUGAGGUGCGAAAGCGUGGGUAGCAAACAGGAUUAGAUACCCCGGUAGUC